UACGGGGGGAGCAAGCGUUGUUCGGAUUUACUGGGCGUAAAGGGCGCGUAGGCGGCCAGCACAAGUCAGUUGUGAAAUCUCCGGGCUUAACUCGGAAAGGUCAACUGAUACUGUGCGGCUAGAGUGCAAAAGGGGCAACUGGAAUUCUCGGUGUAGCGGUGAAAUGCGUAGAUAUCGAGAGGAACACCUGCGGCGAAGGCGGGUUGCUGGGCUGACACUGACGCUGAUGCGCGAAAGCCAGGGGAGCGAACGGG
rnacentral:rRNA from 1 species